CGACGGAAAGGCUGAUGAGGACUUGCGACAUUUUUAUAGAGAUAUGUAUGCCAUGGUAAACGAAUAUUCCCCACAUCACCCAGCUUUAAUACAUGACAUCACAUUCAAAGUCAACAUGUGAC
rnacentral:sRNA from 1 species